rnacentral:SRP_RNA from 1 species
GCCGGGUGUGGUGGCUCACGCCUGUAAUCCCAGCACUUUGGGAGGCUGAGGCAGGUGGAUUGCUAGAGGCCAGGAGUUUGAGACCAGCCUGGCCAACAUGGUGAAACCCUGUCUCUA